rnacentral:rRNA from 1 species
CCUACGGGGGGCAGCAGUGGGGAAUAUUGGACAAUGGGGGGAACCCUGAUCCAGCCAUGCCGCGUGUGUGAAGAAGGCCCUCGGGUUGUAAAGCACUUUCAGUGAGGAAGAACGCCUGGUGGUUAAUACCCAUCAGGAAAGACAUCACUCACAGAAGAAGCACCGGCUAACUCCGUGCCAGCAGCCGCGGUAAUACGGAGGGUGCGAGCGUUAAUCGGAAUUACUGGGCGUAAAGCGCGCGUAGGUGGCUUGAUAAGCCGGUUGUGAAAGCCCCGGGCUCAACCUGGGAACGGCAUCCGGAACUGUCAAGCUAGGGUGCAGGAGAGGAAGGUAGAAUUCCCGGUGUAGCGGUGAAAUGCGUAGAGAUCGGGAGGAAUACCAGUGGCGAAGGCGGCCUUCUGGACUGACACUGACACUGAGGUGCGAAAGCGUGGGUAGCAAACAGGAUUAGAUACCCCAGUAGUC